UACGGAGGAUGCGAGCGUUAUCCGGAAUCAUUGGGUUUAAAGGGUCCGUAGGCGGUUGUGUAAGUCAGUGGUGAAAUCUUUCAGCUCAACUGAAAAAUGGCCAUUGAAACUGCAUAACUUGAGUUAUUGUGAAGUAAGUAGGAUGUGUAGUGUAGCGGUGAAAUGCUUAGAGAUUACACAGAAUACCGAUUGCGAAGGCAGCUUACUAACGAUACACUGACGCUGAGGGACGAAAGCGUGGGGAGCGAACAGGAUUAGAUACCCGGGUAGU
rnacentral:rRNA from 1 species